AGGGGACCUUCGGGCCUUUCGCUAACAGAUGAGCCUGCGUUGGAUUAGCUAGUUGGUGGGGUAAGGGCCCACCAAGGCGACGAUCCAUAGCUGGUCUGAGAGGACGAUCAGCCACACUGGGACUGAGACACGGCCCAGACUCCUACGGGAGGCAGCAGUGGGGAAUAUUGGACAAUGGGCGCAAGCCUGAUCCAGCAAUACCGCGUGUGUGAAGAAGGCCCUAGGGUUGUAAAGCACUUUCAAUUGGGAGGAAAACCCACCGGCCAAUACCCGGUGGCUUGACAUUACCUUUAGAAGAAGCACCGGCUAACUCCGUGCCAGCAGCCGCGGUAAUACGGAGGGUGCGAGCGUUAAUCGGAAUUACUGGGCGUAAAGCGUGCGUAGGCGGCCCGUUAAGUCAGAUGUGAAAGCCCCGGGCUCAACCUGGGAACUGCAUUUGAAACUGGCGGGCUAGAGUUUGGUAGAGGGGAGCGGAAUUUCAGGUGUAGCGGUGGAAUGCGUAGAUAUCUGAAGGAACACCAGUGGCGAA
rnacentral:rRNA from 1 species